rnacentral:rRNA from 1 species
GACGAACGCUGGCGGCGUGCUUAACACAUGCAAGUCGAACGGAAAGGCUCCAGCUUGCUGGAGUACUCGAGUGGCGAACGGGUGAGUAACACGUGGGUAAUCUGCCCUGCACUCUGGGAUAAGCCUGGGAAACUGGGUCUAAUACUGGAUAUGACCUUUCUCCUUAUGGGGUUUGGUGGAAAGUUUUUCGGUGUAGGAUGAGCCCGCGGCCUAUCAGCUUGUUGGUGGGGUGAUGGCCUACCAAGGCGACGACGGGUAGCCGGCCUGAGAGGGUGAUCGGCCACAUUGGGACUGAGAUACGGCCCAGUCUCCUACGGGAGGCAGCAGUGGGGAAUAUUGCACAAUGGGCGGAAGCCGGAUGCAGCGACGCCGCGUGAGGAUGACGGCCUUCGGGUUGUAAACCUCUUUCAGCAGGGACGAAGCGUAAGUGACGGUACCUGCAGAAGAAGCACCGGCUAACUAUGUG